rnacentral:rRNA from 1 species
UACGUAUGGUGCAAGCGUUAUCCGGAUUCACUGGGUUUCAAGGGUGCGUAGGUGGGCAGGUAAGUCAGUGGUGAAAUCUCCGGGCUUAACCCGGAAACUGCCGUUGAUACUAUCUGCCUUGAAUAUCGUGGAGAUGAGCGGAAUAUGUCAUGUAGCGGUGAAAUGCUUAGAUAUGACAUAGAACACCGAUUGCGAAGGCAGCUCGUUACACGGUUAUUGACACGGAGGCACGAAAGCGUGGGGAUCAAACAGG